UUCUUCAGGGCAGGGUGAGAUUCCCGACCGGCGGUAGAGCCCGCGAGCGCAAGCAGAUCCGUUUAGAUUACGGAGCCGACAGUAGAGUCUGGAUGAGAGAAGAA
rnacentral:ncRNA from 1 species